GACGAACGCUGGCGGCGUGCUUAACACAUGCAAGUCGAACGGCAACACCCUGAUUUCGUGGGGUGACCGAGUGGCGAACGGGUGCGUAACACGUGUGUAACCUGCCCUUGUCUUUCGGAUAACUUCAGGUAACUGGGGCUAAUCCCGUAUAGGAGAUCCUGCUCCAUGGAGGGGGUUGGAACGUUUCGGCGGUCGGGGAUGGACUCGCGGCUUAUCAGUUUGUUGGUGGGGUAGUUGCUUACCCAGGCAUUGAAGGAUCGCCGGCCUGUGAGGGUGAACGGCCACAAGAGGACUAAGAGACGGCCCAGACGCGAACAGGAGGCAGCGGGGGGGAAUAUGGCACAAUGGGCGGAAGCCUGAGGCAGCAGCGCCGCGUGCGUGAAGACGGCCUUCGGGGUGUGAACCGCUGUCGCCUGUGACGAAGCGGGAGUGACGGUAAUGGAUAAAGAAGCACCGGCUAACUACGUG
rnacentral:rRNA from 1 species